rnacentral:rRNA from 1 species
GCAUCGCGACCCCAGGUCAGGUGGGAUUACCCG